GACGAUUCCUACGGGAGGCAGCAGUAGGGAAUCUUCCGCAAUGGACGAAAGUCUGACGGAGCAACGCCGCGUGAGUGAUGAAGGCUUUCGGGUCGUAAAACUCUGUUGUUAGGGAAGAACAAGUGCUAGUUGAAUAAGCUGGCACCUUGACGGUACCUAACCAGAAAGCCACGGCUAACUACGUGCCAGCAGCCGCGGUAAU
rnacentral:rRNA from 3 species